UGCGGUCACAAAAUCCAUUGGAUUUUGAACGUUGGCUAUACUAACGGCCCCAAAGGGGAAACAAAUUACCUCUUUGAUUUGUAAGUGAUUU
rnacentral:ncRNA from 1 species